AUGCUACUACACCUUAGGCGAAUCGCUCAGGAAGAAACAUAUCACAUCAUCGGAUGCAGAAAGGUCGAAAAAUAUGAAGAAUCAGUGAGUUCUAUGCUUACCUUCCAGAGAUGCUCUGGCGGCUCUUUAAGGAGAACGGUGAUAGAACCAGAAACCCCGAUCCAAGCUGCUAACUCCAGGUUUGGUGUUAAUGUGAAGUACCUUUGGUCAUGA